AUAACCAUACUGUUCUGUUUGGAAGUAAUUUUGUUAUGCACUUCCCCAACUUCUCUUUUUCCGAACAACUGUGUCACAUCAUUGCAUGAUAAAAUGUGAGUGUUCUCUAAACUCAGAUUUUUAGCGUAUGACAACAAACAAAUAUCUAUAACAAAGUUAGACAGCCAGUUUUUUCCAGACAAUACAUUAAACUCUGAGAAAUGCAGGUCGGACAUGAUGUUAGAAUUAUCACUAAAUAAUUAGUUAUAUUUUCCAACUAGAUAAUCUUUAUUUUUUGGCAUCUUAAUUGGUUUAUAGUACGCCAAAUCUUUAGGGAGCAUAUUUUGGUGUAAAUCCAUAGCUAGCGCUGACAGUCGAAAAGGAGAUUUAUGUCUGCCAGGUGUCAAAACUGAUUUUAUUAAACAAUCGUCCAAUGGCUUACUCAAAUCAUGUACAACCAUGUGGUUGUUCAAAAGCUCAUCAACAGUGAACCUAGUCUCAUUGUCACAUUCUUUAACCACAACGCUUUCAACUUUGGGCGAAAUGUUAUUUUCAUCAGCCUUAGUGGUCGGAGACUUUGGGAUUUUUAAUGGCAGGGCUUUGAAAGCACGGUAAUUGGUGUGUUGGAGAUGUCUGUGUUGUUUCUCUUUUUUACCCCAACUUUCUAUUGCGUCCAAAUGGUUAUGGCUAGAAAUUUCUGAGAUAUUUCUUUUCCCAUUUAUUUUGGUAGUUAUCUGUCUAGACUUAUUGUCAAAAUCAAGUGCACGCGUACAAGCUUUUUUUCUGAUAUUACAUUUAAUUUGUUUGUGUGCAUUUAUCACACGCUCUCUCAUAAGUCUUAAAAACCGACCGCAUUUCCACCUUCGGUCACCAUCAAUUAUGUCAAUUUUUACAGUUUUAAAUCAAGACUCAACGGUAGCAUUACUCUGACAUAUUUCAAUGCCAUUGUUGACUUUAUUAUUCAUAAUAGGUGUCCAAAGUGCUAAGAAAGAAUUUACAGAAUGAUCUAUUAAGAGGCUAGAUUUGACAUGUUCUUUGAUAGACUGAAAUCUACAGUACAACAUGGAAUUACUAGUGUCGGAUUCGCA